rnacentral:rRNA from 1 species
CGGGUGAGUAAUGCCUAGGAAUCUGCCUGGUAGUGGGGGACAACGUUUCGAAAGGAACGCUAAUACCGCAUACGUCCUACGGGAGAAAGCAGGGGACCUUCGGGCCUUGCGCUAUCAGAUGAGCCUAGGUCGGAUUAGCUAGUUGGUGAGGUAAUGGCUCACCAAGGCGACGAUCCGUAACUGGUCUGAGAGGAUGAUCAGUCACACUGGAACUGAGACACGGUCCAGACUCCUACGGGAGGCAGCAGUGGGGAAUAUUGGACAAUGGGCGAAAGCCUGAUCCAGCCAUGCCGCGUGUGUGAAGAAGGUCUUCGGAUUGUAAAGCACUUUAAGUUGGGAGGAAGGGCAGUAAAUUAAUACUUUGCUGUUUUGACGUUACCGACAGAAUAAGCACCGGCUAACUCUGUGCCAGCAGCCGCGGUAAUACAGAGGGUGCAAGCGUUAAUCGGAAUUACUGGGCGUAAAGCGCGC